rnacentral:tRNA from 1 species
GGAUAUAACUCAGUUGGUAGAGUGCUUGCCUUACGUGCACAAAGCCCUGGGUUCAAUCCACAGCACCA